GACGUAGGAGGCGAGCGUUAUCCGGAUUCACUGGGCGUAAAGCGCAUGUAGGCGGUUGCACAAGUCCGUUGUUAAAGCCCCUGGCUCAACUGGGGGAGGUCAAUGGAGACUGUGCGACUUGAGGGCAAUAGAGGCACGUGGAACUCCCGGUGUAGCGGUGGAAUGCGUAGAGAUCGGGAAGAACACCAGUGGCGAAGGCGACGUGCUGGGUUGCCCCUGACGCUGAGAUGCGAAAGUGUGGGGAGCAAACGGG
rnacentral:rRNA from 1 species